GACAUAAACCAAAAGAUAAAGCGU
rnacentral:siRNA from 1 species